rnacentral:rRNA from 1 species
UACAGAGGUCCCAAGCGUUGUUCGGAUUCACUGGGCGUAAAGGGUGCGUAGGCGGUCGGGUAAGUCUGAUGUGAAAUCUCACAGCUUAACUGUGAAACUGCAUUGGAUACUAUUCGGCUUGAGAGUUGGAGGGGGGACUGGAAUUCUUGGUGUAGCAGUGAAAUGCGCAGAUAUCAGGAGGAACACCGGUGGCGAAGGCGGUGUCCUGGGCCGAUCCUGACGCUGAGGAGCGAAAGCUGGGGGAGCAAACAGG